UACAGAGGUCUCAAGCGUUGUUCGGAUUCAUUGGGCGUAAAGGGUGCGUAGGCGGCGCGGUAAGUCGGGUGUGAAAUCUCGGAGCUUAACUCCGAAACUGCAUUCGAUACUGCCGUGCUUGAGGACUGGAGAGGAGACUGGAAUUUACGGUGUAGCGGUGAAAUGCGUAGAUAUCGUAAGGAACACCGGUGGCGAAGGCGGGUCUCUGGGCAAUUCCUGACGCUGGAGGCGCGAAAGCGUGGGGAGCAAACGGG
rnacentral:rRNA from 1 species